CCUACGGGAGGCAGCAGUGGGGGAUAUUGCACAAUGGGGGGAACCCUGAUGCAGCGACGCCGCGUGGGUGAAGAAGCGCCUCGGCGCGUAAAGCCCUGUCAGCAGGGAAGAAAAUGACGGUACCUGAAGAAGAAGCCCCGGCUAACUACGUGCCAGCAGCCGCGGUAAUACGUAGGGGGCAAGCGUUAUCCGGAUUUACUGGGUGUAAAGGGGGCGCAGACGGCGCUGCAAGCCAGGAGUGAAAGGCCGGGGCUCAACCCCGGGACUGCUCUUGAAACUGCGUGGCUGGAGUGCAGGAGGGGCAGGCGGAAUUCCUGGUGUAGCGGUGAAAUGCGUAGAUAUCAGGAGGAACACCGGUGGCGAAGGCGGCCUGCUGGACUGCAACUGACGUUGAGGCCCGAAAGCGUGGGGAGCAAACAGGAUUAGAUACCCGAGUAGUC
rnacentral:rRNA from 1 species